rnacentral:rRNA from 1 species
AGAGUUUGAUCCUUGCUCAGAUUGAACGCUGGCGGCAGGCCUAACGCAUGCAAGUCGAGCGGUAGAGAGAAGCUUGCUUCUCUUGAGAGCGGCGGACGGGUGAGUAAUGCCUAGGAAUCUGCCUGGUAGUGGGGGAUAACGUUCGGAAACGGACGCUAAUACCGCAUACGUCCUACGGGAGAAAGCAGGGGACCUUCGGGCCUUGCGCUAUCAGAUGAGCCUAGGUCGGAUUAGCUAGUUGGUGAGGUAAUGGCUCACCAAGGCGACGAUCCGUAACUGGUCUGAGAGGAUGAUCAGUCACACUGGAACUGAGACACGGUCCAGACUCCUACGGGAGGCAGCAGUGGGGAAUAUUGGACAAUGGGCGAAAGCCUGAUCCAGCCAUGCCGCGUGUGUGAAGAAGGUCUUCGGAUUGUAAAGCACUUUAAGUUGGGAGGAAGGGCAGUAAAUUAAUACUUUGCUGUUUUGACGUUACCGACAGAAUAAGCACCGGCUAACUCUGUGCCAGCAGCCGCGGUAAUACAGAGGGUGCAAGCGUUAAUCGGAAUUACUGGGCGUAAAGCGCGCGUAGGUGGUUUGUUAAGUUGGAUGUGAAAUCCCCGGGCUCAACCUGGGAACUGCAUUCAAAACUGACUGACUAGAGUAUGGUAGAGGGUGGUGGAAUUUCCUGUGUAGCGGUGAAAUGCGUAGAUAUAGGAAGGAACACCAGUGGCGAAGGCGACCACCUGGACUAAUACUGACACUGAGGUGCGAAAGCGUGGGGAGCAAACAGGGUUAGAUACCCUGGUAGUCCACGCCGUAAACGAUGUCAACUAGCCGUUGGAAGCCUUGAGCUUUUAGUGGCGCAGCUAACGCAUUAAGUUGACCGCCUGGGGAGUACGGCCGCAAGGUUAAAACUCAAAUGAAUUGACGGGGGCCCGCACAAGCGGUGGAGCAUGUGGUUUAAUUCGAAGCAACGCGAAGAACCUUACCAGGCCUUGACAUCCAAUGAACUUUCUAGAGAUAGAUUGGUGCCUUCGGGAACAUUGAGACAGGUGCUGCAUGGCUGUCGUCAGCUCGUGUCGUGAGAUGUUGGGUUAAGUCCCGUAACGAGCGCAACCCUUGUCCUUAGUUACCAGCACGUAAUGGUGGGCACUCUAAGGAGACUGCCGGUGACAAACCGGAGGAAGGUGGGGAUGACGUCAAGUCAUCAUGGCCCUUACGGCCUGGGCUACACACGUGCUACAAUGGUCGGUACAGAGGGUUGCCAAGCCGCGAGGUGGAGCUAAUCCCAUAAAACCGAUCGUAGUCCGGAUCGCAGUCUGCAACUCGACUGCGUGAAGUCGGAAUCGCUAGUAAUCGCGAAUCAGAAUGUCGCGGUGAAUACGUUCCCGGGCCUUGCACUCACCGCCCGUC